rfam:Ixodes scapularis strain Wikel colony gcontig_1108378612270, whole genome shotgun sequence.
GUAGUCGGCCGAGUGGUUAAGGCGAUAGACUAGAAAUCCAUUGGGGUCUCCCCGCACAGGUUCGAAUCCUUUCGACUGCG